UGGGGAAUAUUGCACAAUGGGGGGGAACCCUGAUGCAGCGACGCCGCGUGAGUGAAGAAGUAUUUCGGUAUGUAAAGCUCUAUCAGCAGGGAAGAAGAGGACGGUACCUGACUAAGAAGCCCCGGCUAACUACGUGCC
rnacentral:rRNA from 1 species